UUGAAUCUUGCCCUCUAGCCAAGCAAGAAUGCGCGCGUUUGCAAUAAUGCGCGCUCUGGAAAUGUAGUCAGCGCCAUGGCUUCCUGUGGUUCCUCUGCACAAAAUCUGCCUUGACAGUACACUAGACUACACGAAGGCAAAGACUUGAAAAACUCGUAACGUUUAAAAAUUCGGAACGAUCUGCCAUGGCGGACACAUUUGGCAGUAAACAGACUGACGUAGCGGUCCGUGACGACGUCAAGGAUUACUAUGGUAAAAUACUGAAAAAAACCGCUGACCUAAAGAGCAAAGCGUGUGUCCCGGGGGCAAAGCCCACGCGUGGCUACAUCCGAAAAGCUCUCGAUGAAUUGCACCCGGAAGUCAUUGCGAGGUACUACGGCUGUGGCCUGCUGGUUCCCGAGUGUGUGGCGGGCUGCAGGGUGCUGGAUCUGGGUUGCGGCAGCGGCAGCGACUGCUAUGUGCUCAGCCGCCUGGUAGGGCAGAGCGGACACGUCACUGGAAUUGACAUGACAGAGGAGCAGCUGGAGGUCGCACGGAAGUACAUGGACUAUCACACACAAAGGUUUGGGUAUAAAAAGCCUAAUGUGGACUUUGUUCAAGGGUACAUAGAGACUUUGAGAGAAGCAGGAGUGGAAGAGGCAUCCUAUGACAUAAUAAUAUCAAACUGUGUGGUGAACCUUUCCCCAGACAAGGCUAGUGUUCUGAGAGAGGCCUACCGAGUGCUAAAGAAUGGAGGAGAGCUGUAUUUCAGUGAUGUUUAUAGCAAUGCCAGAAUCUCAGAAUCCCUCAGGGCUGAUAAAGUGUUGUGGGGUGAGUGCUUGAGUGGAGCAUUGUGGUGGGAGGACCUCAUGCGAUUGGCUGAGGAGAUUGGGUUUACUGUACCCCGAUUGGUCUCUGCCAACAUCAUUUCAAUAGGCAACGAGCAACUAGAGAAGAUUCUAGGUGACUACAAGUUUGCCUCUGCCACAUAUCGUCUCUUCAAAUUGUCAAAGAAUUCUGAGAAGAAAGGCUGUCUUGUCAUGUAUGAUGGAAACAUUAUGGGCUCAGAAGAGAAAUUUGAGUUUGAUGCUAAGUAUACUUUUAAGGUGAAUGAGGUGGUGGAGGUGGAUGGGGAUACAGCGGAAAUCUUAAAGAGCUCCAGGUUUGCAGAAGAAUUCACAUUCCAGCCUCAGCCGGGCUGUAGGGCAGCAUCUGGAACAUGCAGGGCUGAACCUGAGGUCAUGCUGGAUCCAUUUAAACAGGCACAGCAGUUUGGAGGUGUCACUGUGGCUUCAUCCACCGGGGGGUGCUGUGGUCCCCAGGAGUCAUGCUGCGAGUAAAGAUAGAAUAAAAAAAUGCCACAGGAUAGUAUUAUUAGUAUCUGUAUUAUCGCUCGGCAUGAAAUAUGCAACCACUUAAAUGUGUUAUAUGAUUUGGUAAUAUAACACACACAUAAUAUUGGUAUAAUACUAAUAAUUCUCCAUGUCAAUUAUUAGAAUGGUUAUACGAGAAAAGCAAUUGUUCGUGUAUGGCUGUCUGCAUUUUUCACACUAAAAUUGUAAUAGCUUUCAUAGCACAUAGUCUAAUUCAUCCAUAUCGGAUGGGGAAUUAUUGCCAGAUGUUGUAAUGUAAUAUAUAUGUAAUAUACAUCUCUUUCGCUUUCUUACAGUAUUUUUAUAACCAAGUGGUUAUUAUAGUGGUUAUAAGUGGGGUUUUUUUGUUUGUUUGUUUGUUUGUUUUUUUACAGAGGAGACAAAGCAGAUGAAUUAGCAAACAGAAUAAACAGGUGAGCAGGGGCGCAAGCUGCCCUUCACUGCAGACCUGAGGCGUCAACUACACAGGCUAUCCUGUUGGUAGCUGUUGGGGUACAGGCUGAACCUGGAGUGAAUUUUGUGUAUACAUCUGCUAUUCUGUACUGUAGGUUUAGGCCAAAGAAUGUGGUGUUUGGUGGGAUUAUUAUAGAACUGUAUUGUUAUUCAUGCUCAUAUUCGGUGGGUAUGUAUUCAUUUUACGGUGUUUUGCACGGCUGCUGUCCAACAGAGCCUGACGAAGACCAAUCAUAAAGACCAGUCAUUAUUCAGUAAAAAAUGGGGGGCGCUCAGCUGUGCAGCUGUCCUGUGUUUGUCAAAGAACUCCUCAAAGACCAUCUGUUGUUACUCUGUGUGAUAAAGCAUUCUUUAAUUCUACAUAAAAGCAAAAUGUCGAUGGGUGAUCACAUACAUUUGGUGUCAUUAAUUGCAGCAAAGGUCUUUGUAACUGUUGAACAUCAAGGGACAGAAGAGUUGCACUCUAUUCAGUGCUGAUGUCAAGUGUAAAUGCAUCACAGGUUCCUAAUAUCACCCCAGUUUAUGCUUUAAAGGGAGUUCACAGAAAGGUUGCUAAUAAUUAAUGGAAAUUUUUCUCGUAACAACGUAACAAAUGGGGGGAAUUAAACUGUUAAAAUGGAA